AUUCGCUGCUUCAAGCAGCGUCAUUUUAGGAGGUUGUUCAUUUGAAAGGAACAGUUAAGUGGUUUAACGCAGAAAAAGGUUACGGCUUCAUUCAAGUUGAGAACGGCGAAGACGUAUUCGUUCACUUCUCUGCAAUUCAAUCCGAAGGCUUCAAGUCCCUGGACGAAGGCCAAGAAGUUGAAUUCGACAUCACGGACGGCAACCGCGGUCCUCAAGCAGCUAACGUAGUCAAAUUAUAAGAACCGCUUUGGCGGAUUCGCUUAUAAUAGAGGAAGUAAGGUCCCUAGCCUAGGGACCUUAUUUUU
rnacentral:sRNA from 1 species